GGAGACACGGCGACACUAGAGCGGGUGCUGUGAGGCCUCCCUUUUGCCCUUUCCUGCCAUGGCAAGGCCGUCUCUGGCUGGAAGCCACUCCCAAGCCCUGCCAUAGCAAGGUGGGGAUAGGCUGAGGCUGGGGAAGGCCUGGCUCCACUCUUGGGGUGCUAAGCUACCACCAAGUCCCCCAAAGGUCCCAGACUUGGGUCAUCUCUCCUCCAGAAGCAGAGCCCUGCUGGGGAGGAGAUGGAAGUUGGUACCAAACACCCCAGAUGCCUCCUACCCGAAAGAAGCAGGCCACUCACCGACUCAUGGCGGUAAAUCUUCACCAUGCAAUCAACGAUGCCCCGGAAUGUCACCCCGAAGCUGGGCUGGGUCCACAAGCACAGGAGCCCUCCUCAGAAGCCAGGAGUGCAACCCUUGGGGCAGAGGCCAAAGGGAAUUCAGGAUAGCAGGAAGUGACCUACCUGGGCAGGAAGCGACAGAAGGAAGGAAAAUGUCUCACCAGAGAUCCAACCAGCCACGAACUCCUCCACAGGCAUCAGGCAUCGUGUGGGCUCCGUGGGAACUGGCGGCUGCAGCAGAGAGACAGUGAAGGACACAUGAGGACCACAUGAAGGAACAUCCGGGAAAGGGCCUGGCUCAGUGUCUAGCACACAGCAGGAAAAUUUGGAUUUUGUGACGAGAAGGUCUACCAUUGUUCCUGCUUUGCUGGCAAAGUAAUAAACUUCUCUUUCCUCCCAAUCAAACCACUUGUCUUCAUUCUUCUGAUUUGGCCUCAUGGACAAGUGCUGAGUUUUUGGCAACACAGCUGGUUCUGGGAGACAACGGAGCCACUGAGUCCUGGUCUGAGGGUCCCAGAGCUGAGAACCGGAGGGAGAUGCCUGCUCCUGCUGCACACUCUUCUCUGCAGCCCAUAUCUGUGCCUCUCCAGUCCUUGGGUCACAUCAGUAAAGUAGUUGUAAUGGGCUCUGUUUUGGGCCAUGUGGGUCCUGAAAGAGCUGGUUCCAAUACUGAAGAAGAUCUGACUGGGCCAGGAGCCAGAGCUGCUUUCCAAUCACAGGGAAUCAGGGUAAGGUGAACCCACUGCCCCCUGUUCCAGAUCACCAAGUCCACUAUUGUCACUUGGAACAGUUUGUGGUUCCUCUGGCUCGGGACGGCAUCCCAUGGACCUGUUUUCCUCCCUGAGUUCCACAUGUCAGGUACACACAUGCUGGCAUUGCCAGGACAUGUUGGGGAUAUGGCUCUGGGGAUAAAUAGUUUCACACCAGCCUCUUCAGGGCCCCAACAUCUCUUCCCAGCCUAGGAAUACCUCAUCUCCGAGGCUGUGUGUGUAAGAUAGCGAGGGGUCAUGCGACUGCUCCCUGGAAAAACAGGUGUGCCUGGCCUGGGUUUCUGGCAUACACCUAUAAUUUGGGAGUGAGAAGGGUCCUUGGAAGUCAUCAAGUCCAAACUCCUCAUUUUACAGAUGAGGAAACUGAGGCCCAGAGAGGAAGGGACUUGUCCAGGACAAGUCAAGGGCAGGACAGUCUCCUGACCACAUUCCAGCGGCCAUCACCAUUCACGGCCUGGGGAGCGCUGCAGUACAGGAUGCUGCCUGCGUCACCUUUACCCAGAGCCCAGCAGCGCGGCUCUGACACGUCCCAGGAAGUAUCUCUGUUUCACAGGCCUGGUCCAAAGUUACACGGCAAGUGAGUGCCAGAGCUCGCGCCCCAGCCCUGGUUUUCUUGAAUCUUCGCCACACCCUGUUACAGGCCAGUGAUCGGGACCUGUGUGAGGGGUAACUUGCCCUGGGUCACUCAGGUUGGUGGCAAGAUUGGUUCGUAACGCGGCCCUCCCUGUGAUGUGACCAGAAAGGCGAGGAGCUCGUCCCGGGGCGUCUGGGCAUGCGCGGGCCCGUGGGGGGUGUGAGCG